GUCCAGACUCCUACGGGAGGCAGCAGUGGGGAAUAUUGCACAAUGGGGGGAACCCUGAUGCAGCGACGCCGCGUGGGUGAAGAAGUCAUUCGUGACGUAAAGCCCUAUCAGCAGGGAAGAAAAUGACGGUACCUGACUAAGAAGCCCCGGCUAACUACGUGCCAGCAGCCGCGGUAAUACGUAGGGGGCAAGCGUUAUCCGGAUUUACUGGGUGUAAAGGGAGCGUAGACGGCGGCGCAAGUCCGGAGUGAAAGCCGGCGGGCCAGCCGGGGGACUGCUCUGGAAACUGGGGGGCUUGAGUGCGGGAGGGGCAGGCGGAAUUCCUAGGGGAGCGGUGAAAUGCGUAGAUAUUAGGAGGA
rnacentral:rRNA from 1 species